GCAGAACUUUAGCUCUCGCGCUAGCUCGCAGACGUCUGUCACGAUAGAUUCAAUGACGACGGAGCGUUAAACGGGCUCCGCGGUCGACCUAACGGCAACACGUCGCCGCUCUCCACACGAGCGCAGCUGCAGCCAGCAGCACCCCCCCGCCCGAGGACAAUGGCCAUCCACUGCAGCGAAGCAGCAGUAACCGGGAGUGACAGCCGAUGGAGAAGAAGGGAGGCACGGGCAUCAGAUGGUGUAAGACGAGACAAUGCCGGUCGGCCGCCAAAAACUACAACGCAUAAUUGCGCGCGGGACCGAGAGCCGACCCGCCCCCUCGUCAGUCAAGAGCCGCAAUAAAAGCCUCGACAGCUGGACGGACGUCCCGGAGGUGACGAGAACGCCCCAGUGCAGGUGUUGACGCGUGGCGCCCUCGCAGCCCUGUGGUCGGAAGCGAACGACACAGCGACUUCCUCAAAGUGUCAGAUCUGCAGUCACACAACGGUGAAUGUCUGCUGUUGUCUGACGGCGACAUGUCAAGACGGCGCUGACAGA